rnacentral:rRNA from 1 species
UACGUAGGGUGCGAGCGUUGCCCGGAUUUAUUGGGCGUAAAGGGCGCGUAGGCGGCUCGGCACGUCCGUUGUGAAAUCGCCCGGCUCAACUGGGCGGGGUCAGCGGAUACGGUCGAGCUUGAGCAAGCUAGGGGGCAAUGGAAUUCCCGGUGUAGUGGUGGAAUGCGUAGAUAUCGGGAGGAACACCAGUGGCGAAGGCGGUUACCUGGAGCUUUGCUGACGCUGAUGCGCGAAAGCGUGGGGAGCGAGUCCGG